AGGCUGUUUGUUCCUAGUGCAGAUUAAGGCAAAAUAUUUGAGCCUAAGCAAAGCAGUUGCUGCCCUAAGCUCCAGAUUCAAGCCUGUAGUAGCAUGGGUUGAAUUCACAGAGUUAGCGUGGACGUUCGUCAGAGAAAACUACAAGUUACAGGUAGCAUCACUUGUAUUAUUCAAAGACAUGGUUGCCUCAUCCAACAGGUGGAACUAAGCGCCUCAGAUGUUGGCCUUCAUUCAUGUUUCGUCGCAAGGUCCAGGACGAAGAAGUCAGGAGAAGCCUAAAGUUCUUGAUCAUUGGAGCUAGUUAUUGUUUUGAUUUUUUAGUUGUGUUACCUGAUGUGAACUAGUUUUGAUUGUAAACCUCAUGCGAACCAUGUUUGAUUGAAAUGUGCCAAGUUUGGAUAUGUUUGAUUGUAUUCAUGAUGUGACAGAGGAUCAAGUUAUAAUGGUUGUUUGACAUAUUUUCUAA